ensembl:lncRNA
GAGGAGAUUUCCUGUCUCAGUGAGUUGAUCGGUGAGCUGGAGGGGAAGUGUCAGAAGCCAGCAAGUGAAUUCCUGCAGGAUGUCAAAAGCACCUUAAGCAGGUGUGAGAAGAGGAAGUUCCAGCAGCCAGAGGAGAUUUCUCCUGAACUGAAAGAGCAAGUCAGCGAUUUCUCCCAGAAAACUAUUGUGCUAUCGGCGACUCUGAGGAAAUGCAAAGGUACCUAAAAUGGGUCUAAGAAUGGAAAUUGGGAUGAACCUCUAAGACUGUGGGAAGAGAAUGGUGCUGG